GUAAAUCUUGUGUCUCGUGUGAUUGCCUUUAUUCUUGUCUUGUUUCAUUUGAUUGAGUUAUCUGCUGUAUAUUACUUUAUUUUUCUUGGUUUUCUUGUCUCUUCUUGGUUCAAGUUGAAAGAGAAAGUUUAGUCUUGGAUAUUUUUCGUUGCUACCCUGUCAGGCUCUUUGAUUGUGUGUCUGUCUUUCCUAAAAGUGGUAUUAGAGAGUUGG
rnacentral:lncRNA from 1 species